rnacentral:rRNA from 1 species
GACGAACGCUGGCGGCGUGCCUAACACAUGCAAGUCGAGCGGAGUCGAUCGACGGAAGCCUUCGGGCGGAAGAUGGUUGACUUAGCGGCGGAUGGGUGAGUAACGCGUGGGCAACCUGCCUCGAAGACCGGGAUAACAGCCCGAAAGGGCUGCUAAUACCGGAUGUGGUCAAGGAUCCGCAUGGAUUUUUGAUUAAAGGGGAAACCCGUUUCGAGAUGGGCCCGCGUCCUAUCAGCUAGUUGGUGAGGUAAAAGCUCACCAAGGCGACGACGGGUAGCCGGCCUGAGAGGGUGACCGGCCACACUGGAACUGAGACACGGUCCAGACUCCUACGGGGGCAGCAGUGGGGAAUCUUCCACAAUGGGCGAAAGCCUGAUGGAGCGACGCCGCGUGAGCGAAGAAGGCCUUCGGGUUGUAAGCUCUGUCUGGAGGGACGAAGGAAGUGAGGUACCUCCGGAGGAAGCCACGGCUAACUACGUGCCAGCAGCCGCGGUAAAAGGUACUCUAU